rnacentral:ncRNA from 21 species
CUAUCAUCCAGAAAGGUGGAGGGACUGGCCCUGAGAAGCCUUGGCAACCGUCAUUGCUCUAAUGAGCGGUGCCAAUUCCAUCCCGGCAUAAAGACCGGGAAUGAUGAUGG